rnacentral:rRNA from 1 species
AUAAGUAACCUGCCCUAGACAGGGGGAUAACUGCUGGAAACGGCAGCUAAGACCGCAUAGGUAUGGACACUGCAUGGUGACCAUAUUAAAAGUGCCAAGGCACUGGUAGAGGAUGGACUUAUGGCGCAUUAGCUGGUUGGUGAGGUAACGGCUCACCAAGGCGACGAUGCGUAGCCGACCUAAGAGGGUGACCGGCCACACUGGGACUGAGACACGGCCCAG